AUUAGCUAGUUGGUGAGGUAACGGCGCACCAAGGCUAAGAUGCCUAGCUGGUCUGAGAGGAUGAUCCGUCACAUGGGGAUUUUGACACGGACCAGACUCCUACGGGAGGCAGCAUUCUGGAAUAUUGCUCAAUGGGGGAAAUUAGCUAGUUGGUGAGGUAACGGCGCACCAAGGCUAAGAUGCCUAGCUGGUCUGAGAGGAUGAUCCGUCACAUGGGGAUUUUGACACGGACCAGACUCCUACGGGAGGCAGCAUUCUGGAAUAUUGCUCAAUGGGGGAAUGUUUGACACAGGCGUAACGCGUGAUCGACAAAGGCCCUUUGGUUUAUAAA
rnacentral:rRNA from 1 species